rnacentral:tRNA from 1 species
GGUGGUAUAGUUCAGUGGUAGAGCGCAUGCUUAGUUUGCAUGAGGUCCUGGAUUCAAUCCCCAGUAAAUCCA